rnacentral:rRNA from 1 species
GUGGGGAAUAUUGGACAAUGGGCGAAAGCCUGAUCCAGCCAUGCCGCGUGUGUGAAGAAGGUCUUCGGAUUGUAAAGCACUUUAAGUUGGGAGGAAGGGUUGUAGAUUAAUACUCUGCAAUUUUGACGUUACCGACAGAAUAAGCACCGGCUAACUCUGUGCCAGCAGCCGCGGUAAUACAGAGGGUGCAAGCGUUAAUCGGAAUUACUGGGCGUAAAGCGCGCGUAGGUGGUUUGUUAAGUUGGAUGUGAAAUCCCCGGGCUCAACCUGGGAACUGCAUCCAAAACUGGCAAGCUAGAGUAUGGUAGAGGGUGGUGGAAUUUCCUGUGUAGCGGUGAAAUGCGUAGAUAUAGGAAGGAACACCAGUGGCGAAGGCGACCACCUGGACUGAUACUGACACUGAGGUGCGAAAGCGUGGGGAGCAAACAGGAUUAGAAACCCUAGUAGUCC